UUACUGAAUUGUCAACAAGAGUUGUUGCUGGCUCCCCGUACGGGGGCAUGUGCACACUUUGUUUACACAUCCACUCACACCUGUGCACCCUCCGUAAUUCCAUGGCCUGGGUGGGCUCUGUCCUCCUGGCGUGGUUCUACGUCUUUACACACACACUACAACAAAGUCUUAUGGAAUGUAUGUCGCGUUUAACGCAAUGAAAUACAACUUUCAGCAACGGAUCUCUUGGCUCUCGCAUCGAUGAAGAACGCAGCGAAAUGCGAUAAGUAAUGUGAAUUGCAGAAUUCAGUGAAUCAUCGAAUCUUUGAACGCACCUUGCGCCCUUUGGCUAUUCCGAAGGGCAUGCCUGUUUGAGUAUCAUGAACACCUCAACUCUCAUGGCUUGCCAUGAUGAGCUUGGACUUUGGGGGUCUUGUUGGCCUGUGAGCCAGCUCCUCUUAAAUGAAUUAGCUUGCCGGUGUUUGGUGGCGUCACGGGUGUGAUAACUAUCUACGCUUGUGGUUUCCCACCAGGUAACCUUCAGCAAUGGAGGUUCGCCGGAGCUUAUAAAUGUCUCUCCUCGGUGAGGACACAUUUUGACCAUUUGAUCUCAAAUCAGGUAGGACUACCCGCUGAACUUAAGC
rnacentral:rRNA from 1 species